rnacentral:rRNA from 1 species
UGAAUACGAGAUGCUACGGCGUCGAAGCAGUGUAUGUCAUACUUCCAAGAAAAGCUUGCAAUGUCAUAAACAAAUAAUGCCUGUACCAUAACCGACACAGGUGGGUAGGUAGAGUAUACUAAGGGGCGCGAGAUAACUCUCUCUAAGGAACUCGGCAAAAUGACUCCUAACUUCGGGAGAAGGAGUGCCUUAUUUAUAAGGUUGCAAUAACAAGAUCCAAGCAACUGUUUACCAAAAACACAGGUCUCCGCUAAGUCGUAAGACGAUGUAUGGGGGCUGACGCCUGCCAGUGCCAGAAGGUUAAAGAAGUUGGUUAGCAUUAGCGAAGCUGAUGACUGAAGCCCUGGUGAACGGCGGCCGUAACGAUAACGGUCCUAAGGUAGCGAAAUUCCUUGUCGGGUAAGUUCCGACCCGCACGAAAGGCGUAAUGAUUUGGAUACUGUCUCGGAGAGGGGCUCGGUGAAAUAGACUUGUCUGUGAAGAUGCGGACUACCUGCACCUGGACAGAAAGACCCUAUGAAGCUUUACUGUAACUUGAGAUUGAAAUAGGACUUUAUUUGCGCAGUAUAGGUGGGAGGUGUUGAAAAAAUUCUUGCGGGAAUUUUGGAGCCAUCAGUGAGAUACCACUCCUAUAAUGUUAGAUUUCUAACUUUGUAUCAUUAUCUGGUCAAAGAACAGUUUCAGGCGGGCAGUUUGACUGGGGCGGUCGCCUCCUAAACGGUAACGGAGGCGUACAAAGGUUUCCUCUGAACGGGUAGAAAUCGUAUCUAGAGUAUAAAGGCAUAAGGAAGCUUGACUGUGAGACCUACAAGUCGAGCAGGGACGAAAGUCGGUCUUAGUGAUCUGACGGUGCUGAGUGGAAAGGCCGUCACUCAACGGAUAAAAGUUACUCUAAGGAUAACAGGCUGAUCUCCCCCAAGAGUUCACAUCGACGGGGAGGUUUGGCACCUCGAUGUCGGCUCAUCGCAUCCUGGGGCGGUAGUACGUCCCAAGGGUUGGGCUGUUCGCCCAUGAAAGCGGUACGCGGGCUGGGUUCAGAACGUCGUGAGACAGUUCGGUCCAUAUCCGGUGUAGGCGUUAGAAUAUUGAGAGGAGCCUUCUUUAGUACGAGAGGACCGAGAAGGACAUACCUCUGGUGUACCAGUUAUCGUGCCAACGGUAAACGCUGGGUAGCUAUGUAUGGAGUGGAUAACCGCUGAAAGCAUCUAAGUGGGAAGCCCACCUUAAGAUAAGUAUUCUCAU